rnacentral:rRNA from 1 species
GAUGAACGCUAGCGGCAGGCUUAAUACAUGCAAGUCGUGGGGCAGCAGGGGUAGCAAUACCCGCUGGCGACCGGCAAACGGGUGCGGAACACGUACGCAACCUUCCUUUAACUGGAGAAUAGCCCCUCGAAAGAGGGAUUAAUACUCCGUAACAUAUUGAUAAGGCAUCUUAUUAAUAUUAUAGCUCCGGCGGUUAAAGAUGGGCGUGCGACUGAUUAGAUAGUUGGCGGGGUAACGGCCACCAAGUCUGCGAUCAGUAACUGGUGUGAGAGCACGACCAGUCACACGGGCACUGAGACACGGGCCCGACUCCUACGGGAGGCAGCAGUAAGGAAUAUUGGUCAAUGGACGCAAGUCUUGAACCAGCCAUGCCGCGUGAGGA